rnacentral:rRNA from 1 species
GAUGAACGCUGGCGGCGUGCCUAAUACAUGCAAGUCGAGCGAACGGACGAGAAGCUUGCUUCUCUGAUGUUAGCGGCGGACGGGUGAGUAACACGUGGAUAACCUACCUAUAAGACUGGGAUAACUUCGGGAAACCGGAGCUAAUACCGGAUAAUAUUUUGAACCGCAUGGUUCAAAAGUGAAAGACGGUCUUGCUGUCACUUAUAGAUGGAUCCGCGCUGCAUUAGCUAGUUGGUAAGGUAACGGCUUACCAAGGCAACGAUGCAUAGCCGACCUGAGAGGGUGAUCGGCCACACUGGAACUGAGACACGGUCCAGACUCCUACGGGAGGCAGCAGUAGGGAAUCUUCCGCAAUGGGCGAAAGCCUGACGGAGCAACGCCGCGUGAGUGAUGAAGGUCUUCGGAUCGUAAAACUCUGUUAUUAGGGAGGAACAUAUGUGUAAGUAACUGUGCACAUCUUGACGGUACCUAAUCAGAAAGCCACGGCUAACUACGU